GUCACUGCCACUUUGGCAGACAGAGACUGAACAGAGCUCCUUCUAGCCAAUUAAGGAGUAAUGUUGGUUAAUUGGCUUCAGAGGUUGCUGUUUAACAUGGCAAGGCAUGCCCCUGUACCUAGGGGCUCAUUGUAUUGCCUCUGCACCACUUCCAUUUCCAUUUGGUUGAGACAGUAGGAAUAUAUCCCAGAACAGACUUCAUGCUUUGCACUAAGCUAGUCUGGCACAUUUUUCAGUUCUUAAACUCUUUCUCACUCAAUGCUCCUCUGAUCUUUUAAUCUUACUGUAGUGUACUGACUAUGCAUACACCACUUUUUUUUUUCUUUCUGUAUGACUCCACCAGUGAUAGCAGUGGUGGGAGCCCUUGUGUAGACCAUGUGAAGGUAUUUUAACCACUGUGUAGUUUAAGUCCGUCUCAAGGUGACUUCACUAAGUGCCUUUCUAUAGUGGAGUUCUUUUAAUGCUGAUUAGUAUAUUUUCUGUAUGAUACAAACUGAGUGUAAGUACUGUACAAUGGGAAGUAGGUCUCCAAAUGGUAGAAAUUUUUCUUUAGAUUGGGAAUGAAGUGUGUUUAAAUGGUGUCAGCUUGGUUCAAAAAAGCUUCUUGCAGCUUUUUGGGAGGUGUUCUACUGGCAUAGUAGACAUGUAUCUGAUUAAGAGUGAAGCAUAUUUGUAGAACCAUCCAAAAAACUACUUGUGGCUAGCCAGUGCUUUGAUGGCGUAUACAGAGAUUAACGUGCAUUUAGCAUGGCUUAAAAGUAGUUGUAUCCAAAUCAGAUUAUGAAACUCAUGCUGGUCAAGCCCAUGCUAUGUUCUAACUAGAUGAAAAGCCCAUGCCAUAGUCCACAUUGGGACAUAGGUUAGAGCCAGGUGUAUUUAACUCAGUUACAGUAUUGGUCAUGGCCACACACUCAAACCAGCCAGGCUGUUUCACAAUAUGGUUAGGACAAAGCUUUGUGUUAUGUGGUAUACGUGACACAAAGCUUUGUGUUAUGUGGUAUACGUGAUGCCAGGAUGUUUACAGCCCAGUGGGAAUGUGGGGAGGAAAGAAUUUACUUGUAAUUUAAUUGUAUUUUGAAUUUAAUUGUAAUGGCUACAGCUGCCCCAUUCCUGUUCAUUCCUCCCAACUGAAUCCUGGAAUGCUGUAGGGGCACUGUUUUGUGUAACAGGGUAUUGACCCAACCAUAGUACAGUACAGUUUGGUUUUGGUUGUGUGAACAGGAUCAAACUCUUAUAACAGUGUUAUUGUUCUGCAGCCUUGGCCUGUACAAGGCUGUGGCACAGUUAACAUGGCUUCAUCCCGUCGACAUAGGUAAGGCCAAAUCAUGUAAUAUGGUUGCACUACUGCUGUGUUAUAAUAGUGUUGACAUCUUAACACUUGUAGAUGGGCCUUCAGACUAAUUGCCAAAACUUGGAAAUGUAUGCUUGCUGACAAGGGGAAGAACUGGAGUCCUGUUGGGCAGGGAAAACUAUACAAUUAGAGACUCCUCCCCCAUUAGAGUGAUUCAGGGCAUGGAUCCAAGCUGGUUAGCCAGAUUGCAGUUUGCUGCCUUCCCUAGCUCCUCUUUCUGCUUCUGUCAGUCAUUGCAUUCAGCCUUCACUGAAACCUAUACAACAGGUCUCUCCAUCCUAAGGAUGCCAACCCUCCAGGAUUAUCCGGGAGUUUCCAGUAAUUAAAGAUUAAUCUUUAAUUAAAGACCAUUAUGUGAUUAAAACCUCUAGGAAUACAUCCAACCCAAAUUGGCAACCCUGUUCCAUCCUUGAACUAGUACAGUCCCCUCUUUAGAAAACUGUGGUAAAUGCAAAUGGGCAAAGACAAGUAGGGAGGGAAGGGGAGAACUAGUGAGGGGAAAGGCGAGAAAAGAUGUGCACUAAGGCCUCAUCUAUGCUACAAAGUUCUGUGGACGUGAGCCGCUUUGUGUUGACCUAGUUGUGCAUGUGUCUAUACUUAAAUUUGUCUCCCACCAAUGUAAGUACCCUGUUACAGUGACUCAGUAAUACCACUUUCCCAAGUGGCAUUCAUCCAUGGUCAAAGUGCUGAGGUUGACACAGCUUGACAAAGACACUGUGUAAUUAGGCCCACCCUAACAGUCCGCCAGUGGCUGUCCCACAGUGCCUGAUGCUGACUGCUCUGGUUACAGUCGUGAACUCCAUUGGUCUGCAUGACCCCUAGGCAGAAGGCUCCCCUCCCCUGUAAAGCCACGUGAAUUUUUGAAAUGCCUCUUCCUGAUGGCCCCACUUGGCAAGCACACCUAGCAGCUCUCCCUUGUUGUGUGCAACUGCCCAGCUGACCAUGCCAGCUAUAUGCUCCAAAUGUUCUCUGGCUUGGAGUAGACAGAAGAUAUUGGGCCUGUGGGGAGAAAAGGCUAUGCAAGCACAGCUACGGACCAACUGUAGAAACAUGGACAUCUAUGAGCAGAUUGCACAGGAGAUGGAAGAGGAGGGGUAUGGCGGGCCAGCCGCAGUGCCGUGUGAAGGGGAAGGAACUGCAUCAGGCAUAUCAGAAGGCCAGGGAGGCCAACAGUUGAUCUGGUGCUGAUGUAAAAGAGGCCUGUCAUACCUGGCGGAGACACCACCACCACACCGCAGACCAUCUUGGAUACCUCUGAGGAGCCCAAGCACAGGCCCUUGGUGUGACCAGCAAGGGAUGAGAUGGAGGAGGAAGAGGAGUCAGGUGGGAGACGUGUGACUUGGCGCUUCAGCUGUGUCAUGAGCCAGGAUCUGUUUGAGGCUCCAGUGCAGUCCAGUCAGUCCCAGCAGGAGCCCGAUGCACUGGAAGGAAACUUGGCUGCUGCUAUGGCAGCCUUGAGAGUCUCCCUCUCCACACCCAUGGAUGGCCUGAGCCAGAUGAGGAAGAGGACUUGGGAUGAUAUGUUUGAUGACAUCCUGCAAAAGACUGUGCUGCAUAGAGUGUGAGCACAGGGCCUGGAGGGUGAACUUUGUAGUCAGCCUGAGGAAGGAAAGAGCAGACAGGAGAGAGGCCCAGGAGUCCCAGCAGGAAAAGUAGAGGGAGAUGUAGCAGGAUAUAAUGGGGCUCCUCUGGCAUGAAAACCAGAUGCUGGAGACUCUUGUGGACUUACAGGCUCAACAGUCAUGAGCUCCCCUCCCUUUACAAUGCAUGGAAGACUUCAUUACAGCACCUUCCUGCAUCCACCCCUCCCCAUUCCAUGUUGCAUUGGGGACGCAUCGCUGCUCCAUCCCUAACUCUGCACACCAGGAGACAUUAAGGACAACCACAGCUUCACAUACAAUGACCUGUGAAAACCACAGUUGCUGUAUGUGUAGCUAAAAAUUACAUGAAUAUUCUUUCCCCGUGUUUAGUUCUGUUCCAUAUAUUAAAAAAAUAAUAAAUUAAUUUGCUUUUAAA